GCUAGUAAUCGCGGAUCAGCAUGCCGCGGUGAAUACGUUCCCGGGCCUUGUACACACCGCCCGUCACACCAUGAGAGUUUGUAACACCCAAAGCCGGUGAGGUAACCUUUUGGAGCCAGCCGUCUAAGGUGGGACAGAUGAUUGGGGUGAAGUCGUAACAAGGUAUC
rnacentral:rRNA from 1 species